rnacentral:miRNA from 1 species
GAGGGCCUCCCUCAACCCUGU